rnacentral:rRNA from 1 species
UACGAGAGGCGCAAACGUUAUUCGGAAUUACUGGGCGUAAAGGGCGCGUAGGCGGCUCGUUUAGUCGGGUGUGAAAUCCCGGGGCUCAACCCCGGAACUGCAUUCGAUACUGGCGGGCUAGAGACCGGAAGAGGUGGGUGGAAUACCCAGUGUAGAGGUGAAAUUCGUAGAUAUUGGGUGGAACACCGGUGGCGAAGGCGGCUCACUGGUCCGGUUCUGACGCUGAGGCGCGAAAGCGUGGGGAGCAAACAGG